UAAGUUUUAAGGUUAAGGGUAUUUUAAUAAUUUUCAUUCUCAAAAUAAAAAAAAAAACCCUAAUCCCUUAUCCACCUCUCUCAUUCCUCUCAACCUUUCUGUUUCAUCUCUUUCACUCUAACAUUUUCUUUGUCAUCUCUACUCUAGCCCUAAUUGAAAAAAAUAAAAACACUUGUCUUAUUUUAAUAAUUUUCAUUCUCAAAAUUAAAAAAAAAAAAAAGAAACCCCAAACCCUUACUCACCUCCUUCAUUCCUCUCAACCCUUUCUCCUUCAUCUCUCUCACUCAACACAUUUCCUCUGUCAUCUCUAC
rnacentral:lncRNA from 1 species